rnacentral:rRNA from 1 species
CUACGGGAGGCAGCAGUGGGGAAUAUUGGACAAUGGGCGCAAGCCUGAUCCAGCCAUGCCGCGUGAGUGAUGAAGGCCUUAGGGUUGUAAAGCUCUUUCGGCGGGGACGAUAAUGACGGUACCCGCAGAAGAAGCCCCGGCUAACUUCGUGCCAGCAGCCGCGGUAAUACGAAGGGGGCUAGCGUUGUUCGGAAUCACUGGGCGUAAAGCGCAUGCAGGCGGAUCGUUAAGUCGGGGGUGAAAUCCCGAGGCUCAACCUCGGAACUGCCUUUGAUACUGGAGGUCUCGAGUCCGGGAGAGGUGAGUGGAACUGCGAGUGUAGAGGUGAAAUUCGUAGAUAUUCGCAAGAACACCAGUGGCGAAGGCGGCUCACUGGCCCGGUACUGACGCUGAGGUGCGAAAGCGUGGGGAGCAAACAGGAUUAGAUACCCUAGUAGUCC